AGUGAACGCUGGCGGUAGGCCUAACACAUGCAAGUCGAACGGCAGCACAGUAAGAGCUUGCUCUUACGGGUGGCGAGUGGCGGACGGGUGAGGAAUAUAUCGGAAUCUACUUUUUCGUGGGGGAUAACGCAGGGAAACUUACGCCAAUACCGCAUACGACCUACGGGUGAAAGCAGCGGAUCUUCGGACCUUGCGCGAUUGUAUGAGCCGAUGUCGGAUUAGCUAGUUGGCGGGGUAAAGGCCCACCAAGGCGACGAUCCGUAGCUGGUCUGAGAGGAUGAUCAGCCACACUGGAACUGAGACACGGUCCAGACUCCUACGGGAGGCAGCAGUGGGGAAUAUUGGACAAUGGGCGCAAGCCUGAUCCAGCCAUGCCGCGUGGGUGAAGAAGGCCUUCGGAUUGUAAAGCCCUUUUGGUUGGGAAGAAAAGCAGCAGGUUAAUACCCCGCUGUUCUGACGGUACCCAAAGAAUAAGCACCGGCUAACUUCGUG
rnacentral:rRNA from 1 species